GCUAAAAAAGUCAAAUUUCAGGGCCAUUUGUCAUGCUUUCUAAGGAACUACAGGCAUAACUCUAGAUAUUUUCCUAUUCCUGAUCUGGGAAUUGCACACAGCAAUUAGGAGAUAUAUAAUACUUGGUGUUUUUUGUGUUGUUUUUUAUUGUAUAUGUUAAUUUACAAGGAUUUUGUUACCGUUUCUUUCUAGCACUUAACGUACAGCCAAUACAGUUUGGCACGUGAGACUUAGCUGAAAGAAAGCUCGUGUUCCAUUUCAGUAGGAUUCUAGAUAUUUUCGUUUAAAAAACACAAUCUCAAUUUAAAAGUUAAAUUUUGACGGAGAGACAGAGAGAGAGAGAGAGAGACAGGUUCUGGGAAAUGUGACUGAGAAGUAGGAGCAAUUGUAUUGUACCUUUCCAUUACAGCUGAGCUAUAAUUGGCUUCAUCACUACUAUGAAAGAACAAAAUAUUGGAAUCUGUUGUGCAGGGGGACAGGUGACUUUACAUUAAUCUGAGAAACACGUAGCCAAAGAUAGAGGAUACAUCCUCUGUACUCAAAAACAUGGCAGAGGUGUGAGCUGCAGGUCUUAGAGAUACAAGACAGCAUCUUCCUCUGUUACACCUGUGCCCACUGGUGACGCUCAGAGAAAGAAGAACCAAGGUUCUGCAUCCUGCUUUAACCUUCCUGUAGCUCAGCUCCACCUCUGGGCUAACAUGGCAAACGUACCAUUCUUCCGCUGUGGCAAGGAUUCAAAGACUGACAUGAAUAAGGAAUACUGCUGUUAGUUGAUGUUGGUGGGUAGUUUUAAGAGCCUUCCUAAGGAUGGAGUAAACUGUGUCUGAUGUCCAGCCUUUACGUGGACAACCAAGUCGCUCGUCUUCUCUCAGUGGGAGCUUUGUCUGGAGGCAGCAGGAUCUGGUGGUGCAAGGCAAGAUGGAAACAUAGUGCUCGGUCUUCAGGAAGAUGCUGACAGAUGAAACUCAAAUGUUUCUGGUCCCUUUUUCAGAUACUUGUGCUGCAGUGCUCCGCAUGUGUUUUGUGCCUUUGAUCCUCAUUUGGCUGAUUAUCCUAGACUCCAGGGGUAGGCCGUCCAACUCACACUGACGUCAAUGAGACUUACACGCAAAAAAUCCGACUGAUUCCUGUGGUUCCUACAAGCCACGUGGUUUCAUAUGACGGACAGAUUGUUGGUGUAAAUUGCCAAAGCCCCACUCACACCGAGGGAGAAGCUGCACUUCAGUGGCCCCGUGUGCGUGCAAGCCUCUGGAUUCUCCCUGGACCCUGCAGCUUCCAAAGGCAAAACGACUCGAUUUGCAGCCCCCUCUUCUGAAGCCAGUCAAGGUAUUUUCACUAAUUGACUUCAGAUCAUUCAGCAGUAAAUUGGCAAUGAACACAGAAACGCACACUGAUUUUGUUUGGGAACCUUCCAUUUUGGGACUCUCCAAAGGACAGAAGGCUUACUCUUACAUGGAGUGGUCCUGCUUUCUCCCUGUACCUGUGUGACAUGUCUGACUGGAUACAGCACUGACUAGAGUUCAGAGCUGAAGGGCUGAACUUCUUCAUUCCCAAUUUCUUUGAAACUUCCCCCCUGCUGACCCCAGAUUUUCUGUACUCGCUCUUUUAAUAAGGUGUUAGCCGAUGUUGCACUGGGUACAUUUUCCUGCACUUCUCUACUGCAAGUACCUGAGACAUUGUCUUUGUUGCUGCACCUGAGCUUGAGAGUGGCUGAGGAAGAAAAGGCAGCUCAUCAUCUGCAGGAACUGGCAGCACCAUUUAACCAGUUUAACUUCACACGUUUGUGUUGCUCCAGGGGGUUGCUAUGCCUUUGUUGCAAAACUCAUCUGACCUCAUGCGCCAACAACAGUGAUACCAGUAGGUCUGCUUGGGAAACACAUCCUGCCACUUCCACUGUGCACCUCGCUGCUUUAGGGGAUGUUAGCAUGGCCUCAGCUCAGCUGGGAGCUGGGUCUCGCUCCUCAAUCAGAGACAACUCAUUCUCGUUAUUAAACACGCAGAACACUUCCUGGAUAUUCCUGUACACGCUUGCAAGGAUACCUUAUUAAACCUGUACUCCUGUCUCUGCUCACCUCGUGCAGCCCCACGGGGACAGACCGGCCCGUCGGCCGCAGCACGGAGCGUGUGCGGCUCCACUGCCCUCUCCUGGGAGCAGGCAAACCGGAGUUCCAGAGCACUCGGCCUGCGGAGCAGAAAGCUGGAUCUGAGGUCAAUGCUCAUGGUGUUUCGCCGUGAAACGCCUCUCCAGAGCUUUGCACCACGGAUGCGCUGUCUGUGGAAACACAAAACACAGCCUGGAUGGGUCACAGAUCCCACUGUCAGGGCAGCAGGGCUGCCGGGUAGUUACAAUCCCACAGGCUACAACCUCUCUCUCCCCAUAGAAUUAAGGUCAGACACCAAGUGCCCACAGAGGCAGUGGGAACACACCACGGAGGGGGCAUCCCAGCUCAGUAGCCCUCCACAGCCUGUCCGUGGGGCUGGGAGCACAGGGCAGCAUCCAGGAGGGCACUCUGCUCACUGCAACCUGCAGGAUCUCUCACUACCCAGGAGCCUGGCACCAACCAUGCCACCCGGCCCAGAAGGCUGUCUGCAAACUGCACACCGCUCUGGGCCCAAAGAUGACUACUCCUACACGUGUGUAUAAGCUGAGCAAAUAAAAUAGCAGCUCUGUAUGAUGCUUGCCUUGAAAACAACAACAAAAGAAGUUGCAUCUCAUAACAGGGAGAACAGAUAUAGCUAAUACAACAUACCAUCCACUUGACAAGACUCCCAAAAUAAUGAUGGCUUUGUCUCUGAAUAGCAAUAGUCUGACUGCUAAGCUCUGCUUUCCAGUCCUGUCUCCCAAAAGCAGCUUCAUUUACUCUUGUAUUUCCUGUUCUAAUGUCUCCCGUAUUUUGCGUAAAUCUCUCUUGUUCAAUAGCUGCACCAGUCCUUCAGUCCAGAGACAGAUAGGGCACAUCCCUUAACACGAGCAGCCUUCUUCCUUAAAGUUCUGAGAUAAGAGAAGUGUAGCAAGUGUCAUGCUUUCAGCUCUGCUGGUCCUACUACCCUGCAUUUGAGCACUCAGAAAGCUUGUCCAGGCUUUCCAGACAAACCCAGUUUGUAGGAAAUGGAACUGGGUAAGGCUCCUUAAUCUCAGCUAAGAAUAAGGUCAUAUAUCACAUCUCUUUUCAGCAAACCAGGAGGGAAGGAACUCUAGCACCGUUUUCCAGCCAGUCUUCUGAGAAGAGAAGCUGAGCAGCUCUGGGGAAUGUUUCUCAGAAACUUCCCAACCCUCCAGGGAAGCCAGAGCCAUUCACUGGAUUUCUGGAUUGCCAAGGACUCCUUUGUGUUUGCCCUGUCUAUGCGCUGUUUUUCACAACCUGUUUCCAUUUAUUCUCAUGUCUUUGUUGCCUUAGUCUUAAACCAGUCUGCCGUGAGCCUCGAAACCCCUCAUCUCUUUGCUCUGGGUAAAUCAGUCUGAGGGUGGUUCUGACUUUUCCUGCGUUUUUAUCAUCAUUAGUUUCCUGCUCCCGAGGGCAUGCCUGGAUGCUCAUGUCUCACCAGAAGACCAUCCUGACUGCAGACUUCUGAGAAGAGCACUGCGGUUCAGCGCCAGCACAUUUACCCAGUGGAUGGCUUUCUGUCUGAAACUGCCAACCAAGUUUUUUUUUGGAGCAGACAAUUUUUUGAAAACCCCACAAGAGAUUAAAAUAAGCAACUUGUUUUGCUUUAAAAUUUCUAGGACCAGAUCUUCAAGCGGUGUAAAUUAGCAUAAGUUUUCUGAUGCUCUAACCCUUACAAUCUGAGUGCAAGUCAAAAUUGGGCAUGGUUGUAUUUAAGGUUUGGUUACUUUUCAAGGCUGAAACUCAAACAGCUCCUCAGGGUGGGCACGGUCUGUCUUUAUUCUGUAUUUGGGUUGCUCCCACCUCUUUUGCUGGAGUUUAUUUCUAUCUUUGAUUUAUUUUCUCUGUUGAGAUGUACUGUCCGUGCUCCUUCACCUCUCCUCUCAUUCCCAUCUCUCUACUUGCUAUUGUCCAACCUUUUCAGCUCCUUUUCUCUCUUUCCCCUCCUGUCUUUCCUCUUCCUUGGUAGUUCCUUUUCCUUCCCCCUUAUCUCAGCAAUCGCUGCCAACAGCUAUAUUUGGAAUAGAGUGGGAACAAGCUAUUCUUGUGACUUUACUUUGAAAUAACUGAGAGGAGCAGAUGAUUUUCUUUGAACAAAUAGAGGAUACAUCGAGGAGAAGGCAGGCUAGUAAUGUCAGAAUUACAUUGCUAGGGAAUACCUGCCCAGCAGGUUUGUCUUUCCCAACUUUCAGGAUGCCUGGACUUGCUAUGGGCUUUUUGUUUGCUCUGUUUUAGCUUUAAAUCCUUUUGUGCAAAAUUCCUCUUUACAGCUUAGCAGCACGGGGUCCUAACAAGGCCUGACUUUUCAUCACAGUGUUUGGGCACUUACACACCAAGGGGAAUGACUGCCACCUAGAAUCUCAGAUGCUAGAAUUAGCUGAAACAGGAUAUAUCCUUGCAUAUAUACUUGUUUAGCACUUGAACUCAAUGCUGUUGUAUGUUCUAGUGCAGUCACAGGAUAUAGUUACAGAGUCUCACUUUGAAUAGUGAGCACAGAAAAAUGCUGGGAGGAACAACUUCCUAUCGUGCAAUGUGAUUUCUCCAUGUCCUCUCACAUUAACUCCUCAUCACCACCUGUUCCUCAUCACCACGGUCAUUUAAACUGUUGCAAGCAAUACAUUAGCACAGCCAACAGGAUCCAGAGCUAUAUGAAGCGGACAAAGCAGAAUGCAUUUUCCCCUGUACUCUGUAUUUCUGUGUUUAUAUGAUUAACUCCCACACUGGCAAACCAAACAAGAAAGGAGGCCAAAUGAGAAAUUCAGCAUUAUAGCUUAGCAUUUUGAGCCUGUGCCAGAAGACGACCCAAGUAGAUUUGUCUGCUCUGAAGAGAAGCAGGUUCUAGUAAAGCCAUUCUGCUGUACACACAUUCAUGUGUGAAACUGCUUCAUACAAAGAAAGAUAUGUUAAAUUAUAUGCAGAAAGACAUAGGGAAAAGAUCUUUAGCUGCAAGUUAAAAGAUCAAAGGCAGGAAGGCUGCUAAAUGUUAAGACAAGAAGUUAGAAGGAAAUGAUUCUUCCAUCCAUUGAGGACUUUCUGGAAUUUUAUAAAUCUGCUAACACAGGCCAUCAUGCUAACAUGGAACUCCAUGGUUGUCUCUGCAAUAACUGCUAAUACAUUCAGUUUGCCAACAGAAAAUGCAUCCACAACAAUAUUUUAGGAGAGUAAACUUGGCAGAGUUGCACCAUUUUAUUUAAUUUUUUUAUUUUUUUUUUAAUCAGACUAUCUAAUAGAAAAACAGGUAAUCUUCAAGCAAACAGACCCUUUUCCAGCUUCACACUACUACUGUCACCACCCUAGAGAUCUUCAAUGUGCCAUACUACAUGGAAUCUAAGCAAAAUGAAGAAGACUAAAGAGUUGAUAUUGUGUUUCAGCAUUACUCUCAGUCCUAGAGACUGCUGAGUGUCUCUCUGGGCUCCUGCCCCAUAAAACUAAACAAGGAGAAUUUGGCAUAUGCUGCAGACAUAUAACAUUUCACACUGAAUUAAAUGCAAGUGCAAAAACCAGGUUUGUUCCAUCUGCAUCAGGUAAGUUCUUUUGCAGUUUUGCACUGCCAUAGAGAGCAAAUAUAUUUGUAUACAUAUAAGCUACAGGUUGGCAGAUGCAAAUGAACUGCCAGGUAUUUAGAGAGUGCUGCUGAAUCCACGUGAACUCAGAGGCGAUUUAGCCAUUCCCUGUUACUUCUCAUCUCAUCCUCACCAACUUGCAAACUUUCCUCUCUGCCUCUUCAGCUCCACAGUUCAGCACAGCUGAGUAAGACAACCACAAAGAGCAUCUGAAAAAUAAUCUUUAGGUUCAGGGCUCACAGUGGACUACGUGAGGUACAGAGCCCUGCUGAAGAAAGAGCUACUCUACAGCUCUAUGGACACCAACAAAUCAGUUCUCACUGUCCCCAGCACUGGAAGCUGCUUCCAGGAUUCUCAGCAGCACCCAACAUACCUUAGCUUUAUAAUACUGAGCAGAUGCAGACAUGACUAAAGCUUGUCAGUAUCUAAGCCACAACUAAACACCAUCAACAUUUGCAAAAUAGGCUUUCCCCAAUCUCCUUGGUCUGGAACAGCUGAGAAGAUGAAUAUUUUCUGAACCUUUUUGCCACUACACAGAAUUGAGGGAAAUUUUCUACCCAAAGUCAGUCACCCUCCCCACAGUGUUACCUGCUGGAUUCAGCACUUGUGUUGGAGCAUCACUAAAACCACCAAGUCUGCAGUGUGCCUGAAGGGGCUUGACCAGAGCUGAACUGGACUUCGCAGGCCUUCUGAAUAGCACACCUUAUUCUAACAUGAUUUAAAGUUGACAACGUGUCUGAAAACACACAUAAUGUCAGAGAAGGAAUUAAAUGUUGCUUCUCUCUCUCUCUCUCCUCCCCAACCUCAUUACAGGCUAAGGAAAAAUAAUGUAUGGAGAAUAAUACUUCACCAUCUAAGGAGUUUUUUUGGUUUCUAAAUCUAGUGAAGAGUCAUUGUAUAUUUUGACAGAAAAAUGAAUCAAAAUAAUAAAGUGAAUACAAAAUUA